rnacentral:rRNA from 1 species
AAGCCGCGAGGUAGAGCAAAUCUCAAAAAAACAAUCUCAGUUCAGACUGCAGGCUGCAACUCGCCCGCACGAAGUCGGAAUUGCUAGUAAUCGUAGGUCAGCAUACUACGGUGAAUACGUUCCCGGGCCUUGUACACACCGCCCGUCAAACCAUGAGAGUUGGCAACACCCGAAGUCGGUAGUCUAACCGCAAGGAGGACGCCGCCGAAGGUGGGGUUGAUGAUUAGGGUUAAGUCGUAACAAGGUACC